AUUGAACGCUGGCGGCAGGCCUAACACAUGCAAGUCGAACGGUAGAGGGGGCAACCCCUUGAGAGUGGCGAACGGGUGAGUAAUGUAUCGGAACGUGCCCAGUCGUGGGGGAUAACGUAGUGAAAAUUACGCUAAUACCGCAUACGAUCUAUGGAUGAAAGCGGGGGAUCGCAAGACCUCGCGCGAUUGGAGCGGCCGAUAUCAGAUUAGGUAGUUGGUGGGGUAAAGGCCUACCAAGCCAACGAUCUGUAGCUGGUCUGAGAGGACGACCAGCCACACUGGAACUGAGACACGGUCCAGACUCCUACGGGAGGCAGCAGUGGGGAAUUUUGGACAAUGGACGCAAGUCUGAUCCAGCCAUUCCGCGUGCAGGACGAAGGCCUUCGGGUUGUAAACUGCUUUUGUACGGAACGAAAAAGCUCUUACUAAUACUAGGAGUCCAUGACGGUACCGUAAGAAUAAGCACCGGCUAACUCCGUG
rnacentral:rRNA from 1 species